rnacentral:rRNA from 1 species
GACGAACGCUGGCGGCGUGCUUAACACAUGCAAGUCGAACGCUGAAGCUCAGCUUUUGUUGGGUGGAUGAGUGGCGAACGGGUGAGUAACACGUGAGUAACCUGCCUCCUUCUUUGGGAUAACGCCCGGAAACGGGUGCUAAUACUGGACAUUCACUGGUCUUCGCAUGGGGGUUGGUGGAAAGGGUUUUUCUGGUGGGGGAUGGGCUCGCGGCCUAUCAGCUUGUUGGUGGGGUGAUGGCCUACCAAGGCUUUGACGGGUAGCCGGCCUGAGAGGGUGACCGGUCACAUUGGGACUGAGAUACGGCCCAGACUCCUACGGGAGGCAGCAGUGGGGAAGAUUGCACAAUGGGCGCAAGCCUGAUGCAGCGACGCCGCGUGAGGGAUGGAGGCCUUCGGGUUGUGAACCUCUUUCGCUCAUGGUCAAGCCGCAACAAUGGUUGUGGUGAGGGUAGUGGGUAAAGAAGCGCCGGCUAACUACGUG